UACAGAGGGUGCAAGCGUUGUUCGGAAUUAUUGGGCGUAAAGGGUGCGUAGGCGGUUCCGCAAGUCCUGUGUGAAAUCUUCGGGCUCAACUCGAGUCUGCACGGGAAACUGCGGGGCUUGAGUGUGGGAGAGGUGAGUGGAAUUCCCGGUGUAGCGGUGAAAUGCGUAGAUAUCGGGAGGAGCACCUGUGGCGAAAGCGGCUCACUGGACCAUAACUGACGCUGAUGCACGAAAGCUGGGGGGAGCAAAC
rnacentral:rRNA from 1 species